GAUGAACGCUGGCGGCGUGCCUAAUACAUGCAAGUCGAGCGAAUGGAUUAAGAGCUUGCUCUUAUGAAGUUAGCGGCGGACGGGUGAGUAACACGUGGGUAACCUGCCCAUAAGACUGGGAUAACUCCGGGAAACCGGGGCUAAUACCGGAUAACAUUUUGAACCGCAUGGUUCGAAAUUGAAAGGCGGCUUCGGCUGUCACUUAUGGAUGGACCCGCGUCGCAUUAGCUAGUUGGUGAGGUAACGGCUCACCAAGGCAACGAUGGGUAGCCGACCUGGAAGGGGGAUCGGCCACACUGGGACUGAGACACGGCCCAGACUCCUACGGGAGGCAGCAGUAGGGAAUCUUCCGCAAUGGACGAAAGUCUGACGGAGCAACGCCGCGUGAGUGAUGAAGGCUUUCGGGUCGUAAAACUCUGUUGUUAGGGAAGAACAAGUGCUAGUUGAAUAAGCUGGCACCUUGACGGUACCUAACCAGAAAGCCACGGCUAACUACGUGCCAGCCGCCGCCGUAA
rnacentral:rRNA from 1 species